GCCUCUAUGGCGUAGUGGUAACGGUGAGUUUUCAGCCUUUUUCAAAAAAAAAGAAUCCAUGCUGAUGCUGUUUAGCGUCGCACUUGUACCACGGCAGAAUUUCAUCUCCAUGAGUCGAUGCGAAGAUCACAAGUUCAAUUCUUGUUGGAGGCA
rfam:Capronia semiimmersa strain CBS 27337 unplaced genomic scaffold supercont1.2, whole genome shotgun sequence.